UAGUCGUAAACGAUACUCGCUAGGUGUCGGCCACGGUGCGACCGUUGUCGGUGCCGUAGGGAAGCCGUGAAGCGAGCCACCUGGGAAGUACGGCCGCAAGGCUGAAACUUAAAGGAAUUGGCGGGGGAGCACAACAACGGGUGGAGCUUGCGGUUUAAUUGGAUUCAACGCCGGAAAUCUUACCGGGACCGACAGCAACAUGAAGGCCAAGCUGAAGACUUUGCCGGAUUAGCUGAGAGGAGGUGCAUGGCGUAGUCGUGU
rnacentral:rRNA from 1 species